GUUCUGGUUCUGGUUCAGAUGUAGUUUCUGGUUCUGGUUCAGAUGUAGUUUCUGGUUCUGAUUUAGGUUCAGAUGUAGUUUCUGGUUCCGGUUCAGAUGUAGUUUCUGGUUCUGACCUAGGUUCAGAUGAAGUUUCUGGUUCUGACUUAGGUUCAGAUGUAGUUUCUGGUUCUGAUCUAGGUUCAGAUGUAGUUUCUGGUUCUGAUUUAGGUUCAGAUGUAGUUUCUGGUUCUGACCUAGGUUCAGAUGAAGUUUCUGGUUCUGAUUUAGGUUCAGAUGUAGUUUCUGGUUCUGACUUAGGUUCAGAUGUUGUUUCUGGUUCUGACUUAGGUUCAGAUGUAGUUUCUGGUUCUGAUUUUGGUUCAGAUGUAGUUUCUGGUUCUGACUUAGGUUCAGAUGUCGUUUCUGGUUCUGACUUAGGUUCAGAUGUAGUUUC